rnacentral:rRNA from 1 species
AUGGCGAUGGAGGUGGCAGCAGCUGGGGCCGUGGACGGACAGCGAUCCAGCAAGUUCGUCGCGGCGUUGUCGAGAACGAGCGCGACCUUCCUCUUCUUCUCCGUCGUCGUCGUCGGAGCGGUCGCCGUAUCCACUCGCUGGAUCACCACCACCACCUCUACUUUGCAGGUAAGCUUCCCGACCACCGCGGCCAUUCCCGCCGCCGCCGCCGUUCUCCACCCCAAAACACAGCACCCCAGCCCAUCACCGCAGUUGCCCUCCAGACCACCACGACCGCCACCUGCCGCCUACUCCAUCUCUUGCCCCACCCCUCCCCUCCGUCGCAACACCUCCCACGCCGCCAGAGCGAGCAAAUCUUCCCAAACCCUGGGCCUCGCGCUCUCCUCCUCGUCGUCCUGCCGCUCCGACCCCGACCUUCCACCAGCCACCACCUCCGCCACCGCCGCCCGCUCACCCUCCAACUCCUCGUGCCCAUCCUACUUCCGCUUCAUCCACGAGGACCUCCGCCCAUGGCGCGCGGCGGGGGGCGUCACCCGCGCCAUGCUCGCGCGCGCCCGCGCCACCGCCAGCUUCCGCCUCGUCGUGCUGCGGGGCCGCGCCUUCGUGCAGCGGUUCCGCCCGGCGUUCCAGACGCGCGACCUCUUCACCAUCUGGGGGAUUCUCCAGCUGCUCCGCCGCUACCCCGGCCGCGUCCCCGACCUCGACCUCAUGUUCGACUGCGUCGACUGGCCCGUCGUCCGCGCGCACCUCUACCGCGGGGAGCACGCCCCCUUCAUGCCGCCGCUCUUCCGGUACUGCGGGGAUGACAGGACGCUGGACAUCGUCUUCCCAGAUUGGUCAUUCUGGGGCUGGCCGGAGAUCAACAUAAAACCAUGGGAUGCGCUGUAUAAAGAUUUGAAGGAUGGUAAUAGUAAAGGAAAAUGGUUCAGUAGAGAACCUUAUGCUUACUGGAAAGGGAAUGCAGCAGUUGCGACAUCACGGCAGGAAUUGGUUAAGUGUAAUGUCUCCAGCACGCAAGAUUGGAAUGCAAGGAUUUACACUCAGGACUGGUUCAAAGAGAGCAAGGAAGGGUAUAAGACCUCGAAUUUGGGCAGUCAGUGCACUCACAGGUACAAGAUCUAUAUAGAAGGAUCAGCAUGGUCUAUCAGUCAGAAAUAUAUUCUAGCAUGCGAUUCAAUGACACUGUUGGUCACACCAAAAUACUAUGAUUUCUUUUCAAGGUCUCUUAUGCCGCUUCAGCAUUAUUGGCCAGUUCGGGAUGACAAUAAAUGCGCCUCAAUACAAUAUGCUGUUGACUGGGGCAACUCUCACAAGCAAUUGGCACAGCGCAUAGGAAAGGAAGCAAGCGAUUUCGUUCAACAAGAGGUUAAUAUGGACCAUGUGUAUGAUUACAUGCUUCACCUUUUAACCGAAUAUGCCAAGCUUCUAAAGUUCAAGCCAACUAAGCCACCUGAAGCUGUUGAGGUCUGUCCUGAAUCUUUGGUCUGCCAAGCUGGAGGCACUGAGAAGAAGUUUCUUAUGGAAUCCAUGGUGAAGUCUGCCCAUGAUUCAGGUCCAUGUGAUCUUCCCCCACCUUUCAAUCCUCAGGAGCUCACAAUGUUAAAACAGAGGAAAGAAAAUUCAAUUAGGCAGGUUGAAAUGUGGGAGCGGAGAGCUUCAACAACUUAG